UGGGGAAUAUUGCACAAUGGGCGCAAGCCUGAUGCAGCCAUGCCGCGUGUGUGAAGAAGGCCUUCGGGUUGUAAAGCACUUUCAGCGGGGAGGAAGGCGUUAAGGUUAAUAACCUUGGCGAUUGACGUUACCCGCAGAAGAAGCACCGGCUAACUCCGUGCCAGCAGCCGCGGUAAUACGGAGGGUGCAAGCGUUAAUCGGAAUUACUGGGCGUAAAGCGCACGCAGGCGGUCUGUCAAGUCGGAUGUGAAAUCCCCGGGCUCAACCUGGGAACUGCAUUCGAAACUGGCAGGCUAGAGUCUUGUAGAGGGGGGUAGAAUUCCAGGUGUAGCGGUGGAAUGCGUAGAGAUCUGGAGGAAUACCGGUGGCGAAGGCGGCCCCCUGGACAAAGACUGACGCUCAGGUGCGAAAGCGUGGGGAGCAAACAGG
rnacentral:rRNA from 1 species